AAUUUGGAAUCUGGAAAGAAGGAGUCAAUAAGCAAACAGGUUAACUGCUAGACCUAGGUUAGCACUAGAUCUCAAAAAGUGCUAAACCAGACAUGGGGAAGUGUUAUACCAUUGAUCACAGAGAUGCCCUUCCUGUUACUCAAGAAGCACAGUCAUUCUCAAAGCCAGGAUUGCUGGGGAGACAACAACGCCGCAGGUGAUCUGGAGGCUCCUGGAGGACCUCAGCGACUCAGGUCCAGUCCAAGGAGGGCCGCAGAUCAGGCUGAAGAAGGAUGGAUCCACAUGCUUAGAGGAGAUCGAGAAAUGCAGAAACAGCCAUUGACCACAUCAGUUACAUUGCCAAUGCCUCCAGAAGACUCCCUCACCGCUGCCUGCUGAUUAUGCCCACACCGCAGCUGCUGCUGCCCAAAAUGACUGUCCCAAAGCUACUAAUGUACAGGGCACUAAUUUGUCUGGAAGGCUGGCUCCAUGUUGCAGAGCUCCCAGCAAAGUCUUUCACCCUUGCCAAUGCUGCUAGAACAGAGCUGCCACUUUGCACUCUUAAUAUCCAGGCAAAUUUUAGUGAAUUUCCCCCACUUUCUUUCUUUUUUUUCUUCUGUUAUUUACAUUCCCACACCAUGCCUUUUGGGCAAGGACUUCUUAGGAGCUAAGCCAAAUAUCCAAGUGGCAGACAUGGUGUGGUUCUCACAAUCCCUUCUCCCUCUCCAACCCUGGACCUGUGUCCUCAAGUCAUACUCUGGCACUUAGGAUGAGUCUUUUCAUAGGAUUCCCCUUGAUCCUUCACUCAACCUUAAAGGACUCACCUCUGUUAUCCUGCAGACAUGUCCAGAUCAGCUGAUUCCUAAGUGCACACAACAUCUCUGGAUAUAUACAUAUAUACGUAUAUCCUCACAAAGUUAAUUACAUUUCAUAUUUCUGUUAGACAGUCAAUAACAUUCUCAAUAGGCUUGUUUCCAAUAUCUUUGAAUAAUAAUAGUUAAUAUGUAUUUAUCUCCUCCUAUAUACCAGGCACCGUAUUGUUUUACGACAUCAUCUCAUUCAAUACUGUCAAUAUUCCCAGGUGGGAGGUGCUUCUGUUGUCUUCAUUUUACAGAUGAAGAAACAGAUGCCUCAAGACACUAAAUACCUACCCAAGAUCACACACCGAGCAUUAUAGAGCUGUUUCUAACUCCAGCUGUCUGUCUCCAAAGCCUAUAGGGUGCAGCACGUUCCUCUUUCAUGACACUGGAAAGAUGCCUAUUAUUAUGGCUAUGCAUCAAGUCUGCAAGAGGAUCUUCUAGAUUGUUUAAUUUUUUUUAAUAUUGCUUUUAAAUGGGCAUCAUUGUGUCUACGUUUUUUCUAGGUUCAGCUUAGUCUAACUUGACUUACGUUCUUUUUCUGAACAACAUUUUGUUAAAGAAAAUAUUUCAUAAGGCAACUCACACAGUAACAUUCUAAAAGAUGUGGUCUUUCCAGGCUUUUCUAUCCAACUUGCCCCCAUUUUGAUUAAAUAUGCUGGAAAAACUUCUUUGGAUUAAAAUUGCCCUUUUAAAAAUCACAGACAAAUCUGGGCAAAUAGUAAAGCAUUAUUUCUCUUUCGAUUACAGUAGAAACCCCGAGACAACUAGAACUGAUUUGCUCAGGAGCCCUGUGGGGGACAUUCAUUUUGGGAUUCAAAGGGGACUGCUGCCCCUCUUUAACCUGAGCAGGGAACAGGAAGUGCCGCCGCAGCUCCACUGCCCAGUUCUGCAAAUCUUCUGGCUUGUUGUUUGGCGCUGGGUGUGUGUUAAUCAUUCACCUCAAGGAUUUCUUAAAGAGUAUUUAUUCCCAAAAUAGAGAUGUGGAAGUCAGCCUAUACCACUGGGCAAUAAUUCCAUCUCCUGUAACUUUCCCAUAGGAGUAAAUCUAAUCAAUGUCACUGUUGUUGAAAUUAUAAAAGUGAACCAACUACAGAGUGGAAUUUCCCCCCAACCGCUCCCUCCCUCUUGUUUUCGUGUACUUUGUAACCUGAGGAGAAGUUUCCAUGAGGAAGCAGAGUUUAUGUUGAAGUUACUGAGUGAUGUAUGGGAGAUCUCAAACACAGAAACUGCCUUUAGACGUUAAAAAAGAAUAAAACUCUGUUGUGCCCACGAUGGACUUGUGCAAGUAGAAUGCUCAAUGUUUUCCUUUGCAGAAACAUUGAUCCCCUUACAGGAGGAUCUUACAAGAUACCCACUGUGCUCCAUUCUCAUGUCCCCAUGGUCGUAGAGCUGCCUAAAUAACAUUGCCCAGGAGAGAUUUUUAUCCCUUGGCAAUGAUGCUCAUUCAUGAUUGUGUGGGCAGCACACUUAGCUUUACUUGGGAAAAGAUUUCCUAAUGUAGUGUUGCCUGGCUAAAUAUAAGCUGUCUUUGCACACAUGAAACUAAGUGGAGACUUGACUUAAUGAUCUCGUAACUCUGGUUAGUGCUUCAAUUUAGAAAGAAAAGUGAGUGGGCUUUUCUUUAGUUUUGCAACAGUAAUUUCUUAAAAGCCAAGAAACUUCACAUUUGUAGUUAUGCCUAGGAUGAAAGUUGUUGAAGCUUCUAUUCUUGAUUCCACCUUUGUUCAUGAUUGCUUAUUUUUAAUCUUUUCCAUCUAAACUGUAUUCUGAAAAUUAGUAUAAUCAUGUGAACAUUUCUGAACCACAACAUUUAAUAGAAUUGAAUCAAGAACAAAAAAGUUUCACCUAGCAGUUUUUUGACACUUGACAGAUGAUGUUUACAUUUAUUUACUGUCUGACAAAAUUAUCUGAAACCUAACUCAAGGUUUAAUUUUCAUUGGGGGCUUCACAAUGAAAGGGUUGACAGCAGUGUCCUCAUUCAAUCCUCAGGCUCAGCCCUUUCCUCUCAGUGGACCUCAGUGGCACUGAAUCAGGUUAAUCAGAAUCCUUGAGGCAGAACAUAGCGCCUCUUUGGUCAUUCAUUCAUUUAUGUAGGUAUCGUUUUUUAUUUUUAUUUUUUUUGAGACAGAGUUUCGCUCUUGUUGCCCAGGCUGAAGUUCAGUGGCGGAUCUUGGCUCACUGCAACCUCCGCCUCCCAGGAUCAAGCGAUUCUCCUGCCUCAGCCUCCCAAGUAACUGGGAUUACAGGCAUGUGCCACCACCCCAGGCUAAUUUUGUAUUUUUAGUAGAGACGGAGUGUCUCCAUGUUGAUCAGGCUGGUCUCGAACUCCUGACCUCAGGUGAUCCACCCACCUCAGCCUUCCAAAGUGCUGGGAUUACAGACAUGAGCUACUGCACCUGGCCAUAGGUAUCUACUUUUCAAAAUUCAGUAAGCACCUGUAAAUUCACCAUCCAACCUGAAGGCUAGGACUUUGACAAUUUCCAUCUAGCUACAUGGCUGUUCCCCUUCUAAUCUUUCUGUUUCCCCAUCCAAAGCAGCCACUAUCCUGAUUCACAGGUCUCUGGUUCCCUUACUUCCUUCGAAUAUAGUUAGCUCAUCUAUAUGUAUUCCUCAAAGUAAAUAUUUUUAGUUUAGAUGCUUUUACUUAGGAACACCUAUUAUUUUACCAAAAGAGUACCCAUAAUAAAAAGGGCCUGUGCUAUAUGUAAUAUUCUGAGUCUUUUCUUCCUCCAUUUAAUAAAACUUUUAAAGAUUAAUCUUUUUUAAAAAAAGAUUUAAUUUUGAGGGUCUUGCUUUGGGUACUGGCUCUGAAACUUGCAGGGUGCAUUGAA
rnacentral:lncRNA from 1 species